AUACGUAGGUGGCGAGCGUUGUCCGGAUUUACUGGGUGUAAAGGGCGAGUAGGCGGAUGAGCAAGUCAGAUGUGAAAUACCGGGGCUUAACCCCGGGGCUGCAUUUGAAACUGCUUAUCUUGAGUGAUGGAGAGGCAGGCGGAAUUCCCGGUGUAGCGGUGGAAUGCGUAGAUAUCGGGAGGAACACCAGUGGCGAAGGCGCCUUUCUGGACUGUGUCUGACGCUGAGAUGCGAAAGCCAGGGUAGC
rnacentral:rRNA from 1 species